rnacentral:rRNA from 1 species
UACGUAGGCAGCGAGCGUUGCUCGGAGUUACUGGGCGUAAAGGGUGCGUAGGCGGUUGUUUAAGUUUGGUGUGAAAUCUCCCGGCUCAACUGGGAGGGUGCGCCGAAUACUGAAUGACUAGAGUGCGGGAGAGGAGAGUGGAAUUCCUGGUGUAGCGGUGAAAUGCGUAGAUAUCGGAAGGAACACCUGUGGCGAAAGCGGCUCACUGGACCAUAACUGACGCUGAGGCACGAAAGCUAGGGGAGCAAACAGG